rnacentral:rRNA from 1 species
GGAAGUAAAAAAUCGUAACAAGGUCUCCGUUGGUGAACCAGCGGAGGGAUCAUUACCGAGUUUACAACUCCCAAACCCAAUGUGAACGUUACCAAACUGUUGCCUCGGCGGGAUCUCUGCCCCGGGUGCGUCGCAGCCCCGGACCAAGGCGCCCGCCGGAGGACCAACCAAAACUCUUAUUGUAUACCCCCUCGCGGGUUUUUUUAUAAUCUGAGCCUUCUCGGCGCCUCUCGUAGGCGUUUCGAAAAUGAAUCAAAACUUUCAACAACGGAUCUCUUGGUUCUGGCAUCGAUGAAGAACGCAGCGAAAUGCGAUAAGUAAUGUGAAUUGCAGAAUUCAGUGAAUCAUCGAAUCUUUGAACGCACAUUGCGCCCGCCAGUAUUCUGGCGGGCAUGCCUGUCCGAGCGUCAUUUCAACCCUCGAACCCCUCCGGGGGGUCGGCGUUGGGGAUCGGCCCUGCCUUGGCGGUGGCCGUCUCCGAAAUACAGUGGCGGUCUCGCCGCAGCCUCUCCUGCGCAGUAGUUUGCACACUCGCAUCGGGAGCGCGGCGCGUCCACAGCCGUUAAACACCCAACUUCUGAAAUGUGACCUCGGAUCAGGUAGAAUCCAAGGUGCU